UACGAAGGGGGCUAGCGUUGUUCGGAAUUACUGGGCGUAAAGCGCGCGCAGGCGGUCCUUCAAGUCAGAGGUGAAAGCCCAGAGCUCAACUCUGGAACGGCCUUUGAGACUAGAGGACUUGGGUACGGGAGAGGUGAGUGGAAUUCCGAGUGUAGAGGUGAAAUUCGUAGAUAUUCGCAAGAACACCAGUGGCGAAGGCGGCUCACUGGCCCGAUACUGACGCUGAGGCACGAAAGCGUGGGGAGCAAACAGG
rnacentral:rRNA from 1 species